UACGGCCAUACCACGUUGACACAUUAGUUCUUGUGCGAUCACCAAAGUUAAGCAACGUCGUGCUUGGUUAUUACCUACAUGGGUGACCAUUUGGAAUAACAGGUGUUGUAGG